rnacentral:rRNA from 1 species
GAGACAGCAGCCGCCGCGGGAAUACGGAGGGUGCGAGCGUUAAUCGGAAUUACUGGGCGUAAAGCGUACGCAGGCGGUUUGUUAAGUCAGAUGUGAAAUCCCCGAGCUUAACUCGGGAACUGCAUUUGAAACUGGCAGGCUAGAGUCUCGUAGAGGGGGGUAGAAUUCCAGGUGUAGCGGUGAAAUGCGUAGAGAUCUGGAGGAAUACCGGUGGCGAAGGCGGCCCCCUGGACGAAGACUGACGCUCAGGUACGAAAGCGUGGGGAGCAAACAGGAUUAGAUACCCCAGUAGUCCCUGUCUCUUAUAC